GGAGACACAGAAGAUGGAGGGAGGGAUGGCAGCCUACCCUGUGGCAACGCGGGAGUCGCGUUGCCGCAGGGGGCGCAUUGGGGUCCAGCCGUCCCCAGAACGCAGAUCAGAGGUAGUCGGACCUUUCCCGCUGGCGCGCAGCCUCAGCUAGGUGAGAGGCGUCUUCCCAAGACCAGACACUGCCGGUGCCCUGUCACCUCCCACUUUUUUUCUGGAACUGCUAGGGGCCCAGCGCUGCUUCUGCAGCCUUCCAGGGGAUGCUGCUGGUGGCGCGUAUGCCGCCUAGGUGGGUGGGGAUGUGCUGAGGCCGAAGGAGUGACAGCGACUCGCAGGUUU
rnacentral:lncRNA from 1 species